AGAAUGUGCACACUCCACACAGACAGUCACCCGAGGGUGGAGUUGAACCCAGGUUCCUGUGAGGCAGCAGUGCUAACCACUGAGCCACCGUGCUGCCCCCAAGUUGAUUGUUGUUGAGGGUAAGAGGGUUGAAUUACUUUUUCUGGAUAUUUGUAGUAAAACUAUUGCAACUAGUUCUUCUAUAGUGUAAAAUGGGUUUGUGCUCUUUUUUUUCUGUUUUUACUUGGCAGCCUCUUGUGAAUAUAUUCACUGACUGACUACCAUGGUAAUAACAUUACAAAAAUAAAACCUAUGGUCUAACAAGCUAGAUUUCACUCUAGGGUCUAACUUGGGCAAUAUUACGAUCAGCUGGGAUCAUAGACACAGAAAAUAUGAGCAGUAGUAGGCUAAUCAGCCCUUUGAGCCUGCUGUGCCAUUCAAUACGAUCAUGGCUGAUCAUCCAACUUGGGUACCCUGUUCCCGCUUUCUUCCCGUUCCCUUUUGAUCCCUUUAGCCCUAAGAGCUAUAUCUAACUCCUUUUUGAAAACAUUCAGUGUUUUGUCCUCAAUCCCCUUCUAUGACGGAGAAUUCCACAGGCUCGCCAUUUUGGGUGAAGAAUUGCUCCUAAUCUGCGUCCUGAAUGUUUACUGUAUCUUUACACUGUGAUACCCCAACAUAUCACAAACUAUCGUGGGUUUUUUGAGAGGCAUUUGCACAACUGUAGGAGCAAACAAAUGAAUAACAAGUAAGCCAAUACAACAUUACAAAAAUUACAAUAGUUUUGAAUUACUUGAUAGAAAACAUGCCUUGAUUGUGAAUUUCUUUAGCCAAUAAAGGACCACUGGCAGAUUCAAGUCGCAAUUUGUGUAUCAUAGUUUAAAUUUUUAGAAUUGCUAAUUCUUAAUGUAGAAAUCAUCAGGUAUUUGUCUUAUUAAUCGUACUAAGCUAUUCACUGUAUUGCUCUUUGAUAAUUAUCUGCUGGGUUUACUGUCCUGAUAUUUAAUAUUCCAGAAAUUAAAUUAUAGCUAUCAUUUCAUAUGACUGUUUGAUAUCUUAGGUGAAAAUUAAAGAACAUUUUAAUGACGGAAAAUAAUUUCAGAAAGAAAAUUAUUGCAGUUUCUCCUUCACUACUCUCCUGGUUCGACCUGCCUGAUCCUCUGAAUUCCAGGUGAAGUGGACUCGAAGACCAGACAUCAUGGAAGGAAUCGGAAAGAAAUGCGAGAUGAAACAGAGAACAGAUCAACAUUUGUGAGUCAAGGUAUGAUCCUUAACAUAAAUGUUACGGUGAGGAAAUGAAGUGGAAUAACUGGAUGCAUGAUGGAGGAAAAAACAUACACGAAAGGAAGCAGUGUGCAGGCCACUGAUCUGUGAAUGGAUAUUUGCUUCAUGGAAGGAAAUAAAAGCCGACAGUAUUUUCAAGUCAUUCAAGAAAUGUGGAAUUUUGAAUGUAUUGGAUGGUACAGAGGACGAUUAUCUAUGGGGUGAUGAAGUUGAAGAAGAAGCAGAUGAUGUGCUACCUCGAACUACGGACAGCGAAGAUGAAGAGGAUCCCAUUUAUCCUGACGAUUAUGAAGUUUUAUUCUGUGCUGAAGAUGUUGAACAAUGUGAUUUUGCAGGAUUGUAAUGAACUUUUGUAUUUGAUGUUUAAUUUAAGACGUACCAUGUAAUUGUAAUUUAAAGCCGUAUUAUAUUUCUACUUCGCUUUUUGUAUGUAUAAAUAAAAGCUUACUAAUUCA